UGCAAAAACACAGAAAAAAAAAAUGAGAAAUAUACACAGGUUAACAUAACUUCUAGAGGUUCAAACAUUGCAUGUCAACUUGCUAAGGUAAAUAGGCUGAAUAAAACGUGUUUGUGCCCCUUAAUAGCCAUUUACACCACAAGAAUUGAAAGUUUACCAGCCAUCAGAUUGAAGCUUCGUCCCAAACAAAAUAAUCAAUCUUAAACAAUAAGCACCAAUGAUUCAAUGAAAAGUAUAUUCCAAAUUAUGUGACUGCUUGUGAAGUAAUGAGUCAUUGAUUGGGAAGUUUUUGGCAAGAAAAGGAAAAGGAUAGGAGAUAGGAUUCUCUACCCUAGGAAGAGUUGGAUCGAGUCUUGGUAAAGUUAAAGGAAGUGGAGCAACGAGUCUCCCUUGUUGCAUUGGCUGUUGUACAAGGAGGAGCCACCACUUCCGGUGCUACAGUGGCUGUAACUUCGCGAGCUGAGGUUCCUAAGCCAAGUGCUUUUAGUGGCUCUAGGAAUGUGAAGGAAAUUGAUAACUUCCUUUGGAGUCUUAAGCAGUAUUUUAGGGCGCUUGGUAUUAUUGAUGAUGCUAAGAAAAUAGACCAUGCACCCCUUUAUCUUGUCAAUAUCGCCAUGGUAUGGUAGAGAAGAAGGCAAGCUGAUCGAGAGAAGGGCUUGCGCGCCAUUGAUACAUGGGAAGAUUUCAAGAAGGAGCUGAAACGCCAGUUCUACCCCGAGAAUGUUGCUAGAGAAUCUCGGGCUAAACUUAGGCGCUUGUCUCAAAGAGGUAAUAUACGGUAGUAUGUUAAGGAAUUUUUCAAGCUUCUCUUGGAAAUCCCAGACUACCCAGAGCAAGAGGCUUUCUAUGCAUUCCUUGAUGGCUUGCAACACCUGGCCAGAAUAGAAGUAGAGAGGCGUGGAGUAGAUAAUCUUGCCUUAGCCAUUGCUGUAGCCAGGUCCUUGGUUGAAUUCAAGAAGAGUGACAAGGUCAAGGGCAAGAGCAAACCAUCGAAGGGAAAGAGUGAGGGAGAGCCCUCACAUGGUAAAGACGGAGGACCCAAGAAGUCCAAGUACAAGAAGGGAUCUUCCAAGGGAAAUUACUUAAAGAAGAAUGGAGAAAGGCUGCUGCUCAAAUACUUCUUGUGCGAUGGACCUCAUCGGGUAAGAGAGUGUCCAAAGAGAUUAGCUCUUUCGGCCAUAGUGGAAGACAAGGACGCAAGUCCUCGGCCAAAGAAGGGUGCUACCAUGGGAUCAUUGCAGCUUGCCGCAACAGUCCAAACCAAGCCAAAGGAAGUUAAGGGAGACAAGAUAGGGCGGCAAAGGCGCCUAGGUCACCUAUAAAAAGGGACCUCCAUGUUCAUUUGUACAUAAGUUGUGCCAAGUCGAGUCACUUGUACAAAUAGCUUUGUAAAGCUAUUCUCUUG
rnacentral:misc_RNA from 1 species